rnacentral:rRNA from 1 species
UGCGUAGGCGGAUUAAUAAGUCAGUGGUGAAAUCUUUCGGCUCAACCGAGAAACUGCCAUUGAUACUGUUAAUCUUGAGUUCGGUUGAGGUAGGCGGAAUGUGUAAUGUAGCGGUGAAAUGCUUAGAUAUUACACAGAACACCAAUUGCGUAGGCAGCUUACUAGACCGACGCUGACGCUGAGGCACGAAAGCGUGGGGAGCGAACAGGAUUAGAUACCCUGGUAGUCC